rnacentral:lncRNA from 10 species
UAAAAGCAAAGGUAAGCACAAUCAAGGAAUGAACUGUUAAUUUUUAAUAAGAAAAAGUUCCAAUUUCCAUGAUGUCUGUCAUGGCCAAACAAUAUCCACAAAAUUCCCCAAAGUAGUUAAAAUCAGGGAACUUACUUAUGAAGGGCAUAAAUCUAGAGCUGUUCAUUCCUUCAAACACAUCCAUUUUGCAGCACUGACUGUAUGAGGCACUGAUGAUACAAACAUGAAUAAGACAAAGUCCCUGACCUUGUGUAACUCAAAAUCUAGUAACAGCAUAGAACUAAUCAUAACACAAAAUAAGUUGUAACACAGCCUAAUGAGUGGUGUGUUACAAAUAAGGAUGCUUCCUUUCAGCAGAGGUGUACUAAAAAAAUUAAAACAGGCCAGGCAUGGUGGCUUACACCUGUAAUCCUAGCACUUUGGGAGGCCGAGAUGGGUGGAUCACCUGAGGUCAGCAGUUCAAGACCAGCCUGGCCAACAUGGUGAAACCUCAUCGCUACUAAAAAUACAAAAAUUAGCUGGGCACGGUGGCACCUGCCUGUAAUCCCGGCUACUCAGGAGGCUGAGGCAGGAGAAUUGUUUGAACCCAGGAGGCGGAGGAUGCAGUGAGUGCCACUGCACUCUAGCAUGGGUGACAAGAGCAAAACUCUGCCUCAAAAUAAUAAUAAUAAUAAUAAUAAUAUUAAAAACAAAUAAAGAUGGAAACCUUAUUCCCAAAGAGUUCAGUCUGGCAGGACAAAACAGCAAGUGACUGCAACAGCAUUUAGGCACAAGCUGCAAUGAGGGAAAGAACAUCUCAAUUCGACUGCAAGAGUCCGCAAAGACUUCAAAAGAGGUUUGGCCUGAACUAAAUACUGAAGGCUGAGCAAGAAAGAGGUCAGAAAUGGGUGGGAGGAGAACAAAAGCAGCAUAUGCGAAGAACAAAGGUAUUAAUGUGUAUGUUGUGUUUAGAAAAAUGCAGAAAGUCUAAAUGGCUGAAAAGUAAAAUGUCUGUGAAGUGGGAGAGAGGAUAAAUGAUGCUGCUAGAAAAAGAUCAAUAACAGAUUAUGAAGGGCGCUAAGGGUCAUAUUCCUUUUGAUACUGCCAAGUAAAUAUGGGUUUUUAGCCUGAAAAUGUGAUCAGAUCUAUGUUUCAAAAGAUGAGUAAUGAGAGAAUGGAAAACAGACUAGGCAGGGAGAGAGAUAUGGACAGGAAAUCUAAUUAAUGCAACAGGUCAAGGGAGAAGCGAGGUGUGCAUACCAUGGAGAAAUGGCAACAGAAACACAGAGAAGGGAAUGUCACGGGCUUCAGAAAGCCAUUUCAGAGGCAGAACCAAUAUGGAAGCAACUUUGGAAAAUACAGGAAUGAAGUAGGGUAGGGUAACUGGAAGUGAUGAUAUUGAUGCCUAAGUUUCCAGCUUGGGAGACCAGCUAUGUGAAAUUAUAGGAAGAAGAGAUUUGGAAGGUAAAGGUGAGAUUAAUUUGGGAAUAUGGAGUUUGAGGUAUUUGUGGAACAUUCAGGUAGAAUGAGGCAGGUGGAAAUCUAGAUUUGGAACUCAAGAGAGAAUUCUGGACUAGAGAAACAGAACAGGAUUAUCAACAUAUGAGUAAAUAGCUCUUUUGUUCGUUUUGAACUAUUCUGAGAUCUAUUGGAGUUAUACACUCUCCAGAAAAAAAAAUUUAUGCACACUUUCAGGAACUUCACCAAUUCUCUAAAGACCAUUCACAGACCCCAGAUUAAGAACUCCAGCACAGACAGUAGGCAAAAGAAGAUGAUGUCAUAUGAAGAAGAGAAUCAGGAUAACUAGCAAUUUAAGGGUUUGAGUUGAGGAGGAAGAAACCCUGGAAACUGAGAAGUGCUUAGAGAUUCAGAGGGAAAAGAUGUGACUACAUAAAGUUCAAUAUCACAACAGAAAGAUGUUAAAAGGAAUCAAAACUACUGAACAUAGCCAUGAGGUGGUCACUGGACACAUCUAUAUAGAGGGCUACAGUUUUAUGUAUAAAAAUAACACAACCUACCUUUUGCAGGACAUACUCUCUCCCAAUGACAGUUUCAUGAUGAGUCAUAAACACUGAGAACUCACCCUCUCUAUCCUCCAUUAACACCUCUUUUUCCAAAACUAAAGUCAUCCAUAACCAAUAUUAUCCAUUUGGGUAUUGGAUGGCUUCAUAUUUAAGUACAAUCUUUGGCCAAAAAUCUGAGCAAAACGAACAACUUGCAUAGAUAAUUCCCCAACUUCAUAGCAGGUAGAGUUUCAGCUUUCCUCUAUCUUGCCCUUUGCCAUUAAUGUGUAACAAAACAUAUUUUUAUCUUCAAGUCCUAGAAGUAUCAACCAGCAAAUACCGCCUGGGAUAGCCUCAACUAGCAACAACAGUACUAUAUAACUUUCAAGAUUAUUUAAGUCUCCGCCUAUAAAAGUUGUUCACUGUCCAUGUUUUUAAUUGCCCUGGCAAAUCUGCGUUAUCAGGCAAAACACUGGCUGCAGUCGAUACUAUUAUUGAUACUGAACUUCUAGGAGCCAUCAGUGAGGGAUCUCAAGCUUGUGGAACUUCCCAAGUGGGACUAAAAGUCAGGGCACUAAGCAAACGAGUGAGGCCAGCAGAAAAGUAAAACCUGCUUUAAGAAAACUUAAAUAUUUCUAAUGAGGUUAGGGCCACAAAAUACAGCUAUUUUUUCAAAUUCUUUACGCUUCUGCAACAUCUCCUUUUUUCCCUCUCUCCUUCAUUACUUUUCCCCCUUCUUUCUUCAAGCUAUAUUAGCAAUUACCAAUUUUUCUUUUUUUUUCUUGAGACAGGGUCUCACUCUGUUGCCCAGGCUGGAGUGCGGUGGCACAGUCACAGCUCACUGCAGCCUGGACCUCCUGCGGUUAAGUGAUCCUCCUGCUUCAGCCACCCAAGUAGCUUGGACCACAGGCGUGCGCCACCAUGCCCGGCUUAUUUUUGUAUAAUAUUUUUUGUAAAGACAGAGUUUCUCCAUGUUGCCCAGGCUGCUGAACUCCUGAGCUCAAGCAAUCUGCCCACCUCAACCUCCCAAAGUGCUAGGAUUACAGGAGUGACCCACCACGCUCAGCCCAACUUUUCUUUAAAGAAAAGAAAGCACAAGAACUUUGGUAUGUUUGUAAAAACAUCUAAGCCAUGUUCACAUCAGUCCUUAUCAUAAAUCAUCUUUUCUCUGACCUCCCUCCAAUCAAAAUUACCUAGAAGACAUUUUAGAAAAGGUGUUUCUUUUUAUUUCAGAAUUAACAAAGCAAAAGAUUAUGUUUAAAAUCUCAAUUCAAGGGUUCAGACAAAUAAUAUAAUACUAUGAUCCCUUUUUCUGUAAAGGAAAAGAGACAAGUCACAGGUAGGCUUAGAGCUUCAGCUCCCUGGCCUGCCUGGUGGUAUUUUCCACUGCAAGGCCCAGAGAGUUAACAGGAGGUCAGGGCAAGAGACCUGUUCUUUAGCUGAGGCAGUAAAUAUUUACAGUUCUUCACAGAGCAAGCCAUCAGCCAGAACUGGAAAAACAUUUCUUUAUAGUUAUCUCACUUGUCACUUAUAAAAAUGCAUUUUAGAAUUCUCUUCUCUAUAUAAAAUUAACAGUCUGGCAAAGAUAUGUAGUUUUAAAAUAUGGAAAAACACAAAUUGGUGAAGACACCCCUUUUUUUAUUAAAACCGGAUACAUUUUCAGUUUUUUCCUCACUAACUCGAACUCCACCCAAAAUUGGCAAACUUUUCUCCCAGUUUUAUUACUUCAGCAAGCGAUCUUUUCUUAAAUAUUUCUACCUUGGUCUUACUAUAACAGCAUUAGUAACUGGGAAAAAAAUACACCAAAAGAAAACCAACUGUAUAAAGCACCUGGCCAAAGAUAACUCAAUGUUUAAGAGUCGCACAUAUUUACAAUAACAUACGGGAAAAUAAGUUGGACUCAUCCUAACUUUUAGGUCAAAUUUCUGAACUUUAGACAAAUACAACUAUGUUGAAAAAUCAGAGACACAUUUUGAAAGUAAUGAAAAAUACAAUACAUAUAAAAGAUUAUUUCAGAGAAGACAUUUUGUAGAAAAGAGUCUCCCAAGGAAAUUGAUGGAGACAUUGGAAUAGUUACAAUGAAAAUUAGCAAAAAAAGAAGGGAAAUUUCUGAAAGACAAACAAGAGGGAGUAAAAUAAAUUUUCUCCAAUUUCCAAAAGCUAACAAAAAAGAAUCAUUUGUGUGUAGACAGAUUUAGACAAUAGGCAGUGCUAAUCUCCAAGCAUUUCUCUUUCAGCUUAAGGAAUACUGACUUCACUCGAAGGAGGAAUACAGUGCGGUGAUUAAUGAACACAGGCUGGCCGGGUGCGGUGGCUCAGGCCUGCAAUACCAGCACUUUGGGAGUCCGAGACAGGCAGAUUGCUUGAGCCCACUAGUUUGAGAGCAGCCUGGGCAACAUGGCAAAAUCCCAUCUCUACUACAAAACCCCAUCUCUACUUUAAAAAGAGCACUGGCUCUGGAGCCGGACUGCCUGGGCCUUUCUGGCUGUGCCACUUACGGGCUGUGGCACUUCAGGUGAGCAACUUAAUUAACUUCUCUGUGACUCUACUUCCUUACCUGAGAAAUGAAGAUAAUAUGAUAAAGGCCACCUUGCAGAGUUGUUGUGAGGAUAAAAUAACUUAUUUAAAGUGUUUAGACAGGGCCUGGCAUAAAGUAAAUGCUAUGGCACACUAGCUUCAGCGAAGCUUCCAUUGUGAAGUGCAUACCAUAUUGCAGAUCCAAAUUCUGCCUAUAUUCCAGUGCAAGAAGGUAACUCUGAGAGGCAGUUCAAGUUUCAGUCACAUUGUUGCAUGUCUCUCCUCUGCCUGUCAGCAAGUUCCACCCAACUAAUCUGCUUCCCAUAUAUCCUUCCCACGUUCAUCUUCAGGGGCUCCCUGCCAUGUGCAGCAGACAGCCAGAGUUCCCAAUGAUGGUGCACACCAAGCUUUCCAAUGUGAAUUCCCACCAACACCCCCAAAACACUUGGAACGGGCUGACCUAGCCACCGACCCCUAAAUGACAUCAUGGCCACUCCAUUUCCAAAUUCCUUCUAACUGUAUCAUCACCAAAGUCUUUUAAUCAAUUGAGACCGGACGCGGUGGCUCACGCCUGUAAUGCCAGCACUUUGGGAGGCCGAGGCGGGUGGAUCACCAGGUCAGGAGUUCAAGACCAGCCUAACCAACAUGGUG